UUUUUGUUUCCAAUGUUGUAUUUUGGAUUUUGAUUGGGUAGCUAAAUUUAAUCAUGAUCAUCAAUAAUUAAUUGUUUAUUGAUGGGUGUUUGCUCUUGGGCAUGAACAUAAACAUCGCGUCCGGCAACUGGGUCUGGUGUUAGUUGCCUAGCUAGAGGCGAGUCCAAAGGGCUCUUCUUUAGAAAGAUUCCCUACCUUACUGCUUUUUCCGGGUGUUUCUUUGGUCUCAAUAAUUUGCAGGACCCUUGUCGUGCUUUCUUCCCAAUUGAUGAAGUUCAUUUUUAUGGUUAUAUCUUUAAAUAGAUAUCUUCCUCGAGAGGGUUACUCCAGCUAUUCCAUACUUUUGUACACAUGUACUGAUUGUUUUGACCGGUAGGCAAUAUUUUAUUUUAUUUUUAUAGCUUAAAAGUUUUCUAAGAGUGGGACAUGAUAGCAGAUGUAGUUUGUUACCAUUAUAAUGCUGAAAUUAGAUGCAAACAGUGAUAAUAUCACUGUUCUAUUAUGAAUAGUUUUGUGAUGUGUCUUCAAAUUUAUAUUUUGGUGUGGCAUAUGAUAUAUGCCAGCUUGCUGA